GACGAACGCUGGCGGCGUGCUUAACACAUGCAAGUCGAACGGAAAGGCCCUGCUUUUGUGGGGUGCUCGAGUGGCGAACGGGUGAGUAACACGUGAGUAACCUGCCCUUGACUUUGGGAUAACUUCAGGAAACUGGGGCUAAUACCGGAUAGGAGCUCCUGCUGCAUGGUGGGGGUUGGAAAGUUUCGGCGGUUGGGGAUGGACUCGCGGCUUAGCAGCUUGUUGGUGGGGUAGUGGCUUACCAAGGCUUUGACGGGUAGCCGGCCUGAGAGGGUGACCGGCCACAUUGGGACUGCGAUACGGCCCAGACUCCUACGGGAGGCAGCAGUGGGGAAUAUUGCACAAUGGGCGGAAGCCUGAUGCAGCAACGCCGCGUGCGGGAUGACGGCCUUCGGGUUGUAAACCGCUUUCGCCUGUGACGAAGCGUGAGUGACGGUAAUGGGUAAAGAAGCACCGGCUAACUACGUG
rnacentral:rRNA from 1 species